UACGGGGGGGGUAAGCGUUGUUCGGAAUUACUGGGCGUAAAGGCUCGUAGGCGCCAACUAAGUCGGACGUGAAUCCCUCAGCUUAACUGGGGAACUGCGUCCGAUACUGGAUGGCUUGGAUUUGGGAGAGGGAUGCGGAAUUCCAGGUGUAGCGGUGAAAUGCGUAGAUAUCUGGAGGAACACCGGUGGCGAAGGCGGCAUCCUGGACCAAUAUUGACGCUGAAGAGCGAAAGCCAGGGGAGCAAACGGG
rnacentral:rRNA from 1 species